AUAGCCUUCCAUCAAAAUUAGUUACCAAAUGUAUCUUGAAUUCAUAAACCACUUUACUCUUUCAUCGGUUAUGCCUAUAUUCCUCCUCUUUUCAAUUCAUCGGUUAUGCCCUAAUCCUUACACUUCAUCGGUUACGUCUCCUCUGAUCUUCCGCUACCUCCACCGACUUUUAAAGAUGAAUUCUCAGUUCUUCUCAUUCAUCAUCAACAUUCUACCUACGUCGUCAUCAACGCUUCACCGUUCUUCUCAGAUUUUGGGAAUUGGUCAAUUGUUUUCCGAUCUAGGACUUGCUUCAAGUAUUCUAAUUGAUCCUGUGUCAAUUUCAUCAGGACACUGUAUUUAAUCUAUAUGCUUUGAGCUGCGGACAUCUUUUCUGCAAAAGCUGUGCUUGCUCUUCAGCUUCUGUGCUGAUUUUCCAAGGUCUCAAGACAACAUCUAAGAAAGUGAAGUGUCCG